AAAUUUUCAACAAGUCCUUCAAAAUGGCAUAUAUCAAAAUAUAUUAUGCGUUAUCUUUCAAAACGGGAAGAUUGGUGCUUCAUUAUAUAAUGCCAAGCAAAGGAAGAUAUCAGUAAUGGCAGAUGAAGAAGAAAAUUUGAAAUUUGAAAAGUUGAAAAUACUCAUUUUCCAAGUUAGGCCCAGUAUAUUAAUCAUCAGUUCAAG